UAUUAUGAAAUAGAAUUAUUUUUGUUCGGUAUGUAUAGGAAGAAAAAGUUUUCGCCUGGAUAUCACUUAGAGCAAGAAUAGUAAUAAAAUGUGUGGUAUUGCACACUAGGAGGCAACAAGCAUGGAAAAUGGUAAAGUAAAAUGGUUUAACGCAGAAAAGGGCUUUGGUUUCAUCGAGCGUGAAGGUGGAGAUGACGUAUUCGUUCAUUUCUCAGCUAUCCAAGGCGAAGGCUUCAAGACUCUUGAAGAAGGCCAAGAAGUUACUUUUGACGUUGAGCAAGGAGCUCGUGGACCACAAGCUGCUAACGUUCGCAAGAACUAAUUAAACCAACCAAAAACAGACUCAUUCCGGGUCUGUUUUUUUA
rnacentral:other from 1 species